UUUCUCUUGGUUUCAUACCAACUUUGAGAAAUAACGAGGAGCGCACACAAUGUAUUUUGUCCAGGGAAGUGCUUAGUAAUGAGACACUCACAUUAAAAUAACACAUCCUGACCAAACAUCCACAGCAUGAUGGUAAACCCAGGGAGGUCUUUCAGAGCAGGGCUGAAUGCUUCAGGAAACAUCGCUUCGACAGUGGAAAAUGUGUCUUGGGGUACCAGCCGGUUCUGGCUCCUUGGCAUCAGAGUCAGACCGAGGCUCCUGCGGUGGACGACUGGUUCCGGUGCAUGGAGGAAACAUGGGACGCCGCCCAUGUCCACCUUCAGUGUGCCGUACUGCGCCAGAAAAGGGGCGCAGACCGUCACCGCAGUGAGGCCCCGGUGUUCGCACCAGGGGACAGGGUCUGACCCGAAACCUGCCCCUCCGCCUGCCCUGUCGGAAGAUGGGUCCGCGGUUUGGGGGGCCAUUUAAAGUCCUGGGGAGAGUGAACAAGGUAUGUUACAGGUUACAGCUUCUCCCGAUUACCACAUUAACCCCUCGUUCCAUAUGUCUCUCCUCAG
ensembl:lncRNA